CCUACGGGGGGCAGCAGUGAGGAAUAUUGGUCAAUGGGCGUAAGCCUGAACCAGCCAAGUCGCGUGAGGGAUGAAGGUUCUAUGGAUCGUAAACCUCUUUUAUAAGGGAAUAAAGUGCGGGACUUGUCCCGUUUUGUAUGUACCUUAUGAAUAAGGAUCGGCUAACUCCGUGCCAGCAGCCGCGGUAAUACGGAGGAUCCGAGCGUUAUCCGGAUUUAUUGGGUUUAAAGGGUGCGUAGGCGGCCUUUUAAGUCAGCGGUGAAAGGCCUGGGCUCAACCCUGGCCAAGCCGUUGAAACUGGGGGGCUUGAGUUGGUUUGAGGCAGGCGGAAUGCGUGGUGUAGCGGUGAAAUGCUUAGAUAUCGCGCAGAACCCCGAUUGCGAAGGCAGCCUGCCAGGCCAAGACUGACGCUGAUGCACGAAAGCGUGGGGAUCGAACAGGAUUAGAUACCCGAGUAGUC
rnacentral:rRNA from 1 species